rnacentral:lncRNA from 10 species
AAAAAAUACUUGUGGAGGAGAUGGCCCCUCUGAAAGGAGUACAGGAACAGCAGGUUCGGCAUGAGUGUGAAGUUACAAAGCCUGAGAAAGAGAAGGUGAUGACCCCGAAGACAGACAUUUACCACUGUGUUGGUUUUCAAUCGAAAUGAUGUACAUAAAUUUGGGGCGUGCUUGCACCGUCCGAAUGGGCCUGGGGUCCGGCGGCGGAGAGUGACCUGGGCG